GUGGGGUUGUUGCUGGCCUCUAGGGGCAUGUGCACGCCUACCAUCGUUUUCAACCACCUGUGCACCUUUUGUAGACUUUGGAGAUGACCUUUUCGAGGGUUCAAACCUUCGGUUUGAAGGGUUGCCGCGCUGUUAAAGCCGGCUUCCCUUUGCAUUUCCAAGUCUAUGCAAUUUACAUACCCCGUAAAGAAUGUAUUAGAAUGUUUUGUUAUUGGCCUUUAGUGCCUUUAAUCAAAUACAACUUUCAGCAACGGAUCUCUUGGCUCUCGCAUCGAUGAAGAACGCAGCGAAAUGCGAUAAGUAAUGUGAAUUGCAGAAUUCAGUGAAUCAUCGAAUCUUUGAACGCACCUUGCGCUCCUUGGUAUUCCGAGGAGCAUGCCUGUUUGAGUGUCAUUAAAUUCUCAACCUAACAAGCUUUUGCGAGCUUGGAUAGGCUUGGAUGUGGGGGUCUUGCAGGCUUCAAUCUAGAAGUCAGCUCCCUUUAAAUGCAUUAGUGGAACCUUUUGUUGACCUGCUCUUGGUGUGAUAAUUAUCUACAUCGCGCGCAGUCAGCGAUUCUAAUGGGCUUCUGCUUAUAACCUGCCUAACCCUUUUACCGGGGUGAUGCUUUUUGACCAUUUGACCUCAAAUCAGG
rnacentral:rRNA from 1 species